UGGAUCAUCUCCCACGAGUCCACUUCCUGUUCGAGUGGUGACGUACGAAACGCAAAUCUGACCAAAAGCGCCCCCUGUGGCCAAAAGUGGAAACAGCCGUUAUCUGCAAAGCUGCAGGAAAUUUUUACUUUGACUUUAAUUGUCGCAAGUGACCCUUGAGGGUCUUUGCCUGUCCAACAACGUCUGAGAGGGAAUUUCUAGUUCCAGAAACAAGAGUUGUUUCUAGCCUAACUGUUGCUGGAAUUCUUUUGGAGUGAGGUAAACUGUUUAUUUUUAGGAUGUCGGGCAGUCAAAGUUGGUCAAGCAAAGUGAAAGUGGUCACUAAAAUGCUUAAUUUAAGUUAGAGUUAAAAAAAAAAACAGGUAAUAUUAUUACUCAAAUACUGGUUAACUGUUCAGUAAAUAUGUAUCCUAUUCACUUUUUAGAACUAUUUUAUUUUAUUGUUUUUUAUUUUAUGUUAUCGUAUUUUAUUUUAUAAAGCUGUUCAUAAAAAAUGAGGUUUUUUAAUAAACUACACAAAAAGUUCAGAUAAAAAAGUAAAUAUAAAUGUAUUUACAUUUUUUGAGAUAGAUAUUUUCCAUCUCUGCUCAUUUAAUGGAACCAAGCAAAGGAAAACAAAUGAUGUGAAAAUUAUGGUAUAUGGAAAUAUUUAAAUUAAAUGUGUUAAUCUUAAAAAAAAUAAAUAAAUAACAUGACCUUUGUUAAAGUAUUUUUGGCAGCUACAAGGGUUUGCUGAUGUUUAAUUGUACAUUUUUACUAUUUAGUUAUUAAAAUGAUGUAUUAUUUAAAAUAAAUGGUACAGAGGCUUUCAUGGUGGCUAUUUCAUAGUGGUGGUAUGCUGGGGAACCUUGGAUGGUGGCGGGGCGUCUAUCUUAGGCUGGUGGGGCCUUUGGUCAUGUGAUGCCUUGGAGUGGACUUUGAGUCAUUGGUGCUUGUGGUGUUGUGCUCUCAGUCAAUCUGUGGGCGUGGGCUCCACCAGUGAUUCAUGGGUGGAGGCUACAGUAUUUAAGGUCAACCAGGGGAUGAUGUUUCCUGGACUCCUCCAGGGCUGAUCUGGGAUGACACUGGUUGCCUGUUUUGCUUUGAGGUUCUCUGUUUGGGGUGGAUCUGGAGGUUCCAGGUUUCACACCUCCUUUUUACAUUCAGUAAAUCAUAUUCUACACUAUUGUAGAGUAAUAACUACUUUUAAAUAUAUAUAUACAUCAACUUAAAUAAAAGUCAGUAAAACUAUUGACGGUACAUUUUUACAAAAAAGUUAUGAUAUGUAAUAUACUAACUAUAUGUAGUAUUUUCACCUCUAUUAACAAUACAAUGUCACCACAACAAAAUUGAAAGAUAGUCUUUUUUGUUACUGCCCUCAAGUGGUCAGUUUUCUUUUUUACAACGUCAUUGGUUGAAUAAUAUUUAAAUCAUGG